rnacentral:rRNA from 1 species
GACGAACGCUGGCGGCGUGCCUAACACAUGCAAGUCGAGCGGAGAUGAUGUGAGGAAGUUUUCGGAUGGAAUCACAUUAUUUUAGCGGCGGACGGGUGAGUAACGCGUGAGCGACCAACCUUGCACAGGGGGAUAACGGACCGAAAGGUUCACUAAUACCGCAUGAGACCACGGUGUUGCAUGACACAGGGGUCAAAGGAGAGAUCCGGUGCAAGACGGGCUCGCGUCCGAUUAGGUAGUUGGUGGGGUAACGGCCUACCAAGCCUAUGAUCGGUAGCCGACCUGAGAGGGUGAUCGGCCACAUUGGAACUGGGAUACGGUCCAAACUCCUACGGGAGGCAGCAGUGGGGAAUAUUGGGCAAUGGGGGAAACCCUGACCCAGCAACGCCGCGUGAAGGAAGAAGGUUUUCGGAUCGUAAACCUCUGUUGUACGGGAAGAAGGACUUGACGGUACCGUACGAGGAAGCCCCGGCAAACUACGUG